rnacentral:rRNA from 1 species
UGGCCGCAGUAUUUUGACUGUGCAAAGGUAGCAUAAUUAUUAGUUUUUUAAUUGAAAGCUUGUAUGAAGGGUUGGACGAGAUGAAAUCUGUCUUUAUUUAAAUUAAAAUAUAAUUUAACUUUUAAGUAAAAAGGCUUAAAUGUUUAUAAAAGACGAGAAGACCCUAUAGAUCUUUAUUUAAUUAAAAUUUUAAUAAUUUAGGAUUAUUUUAAUUUAAAGUUUUAAUUAAAUUUUAUUGGGGUAAUAUAAAGAUUAAAUAAAUUCUUUUUAUUUAUAACAUUGAUUUAUGAAUAUAUGAUCCAUUAAUAUUGAUUAUAAGAUUAAGUUACCUUAGGGAUAACAGCGUAAUUUUUUUGGAGAGCUCAUAUCGAUAAAAAAGUUUGCGACCUCGAUGUUGGAUUAAAAAUUAGCUUGGGUGCAGAAGCUCAAGAUUUUGGUCUGUUCGACCAUUAAAUUUUUACAUGAUCUGAGUUCAGACCGGCGUGAGCCAGGUCGGUUUCUAUCUUUAUUAAGAUAAAAUGUUUUAGUACGAAAGGACCAAAUAUUUAAUAUAAUUAUAUUUAUUUUUUGAAGAAUAUU